UACGUAGGGUGCAAGCGUUAAUCGGAAUUACUGGGCGUAAAGCGUGCGCAGGCGGUUUUGUAAGUCUGACGUGAAAGCCCCGGGCUUAACCUGGGAAUUGCGUUGGAGACUGCAAGGCUUGAAUCUGGCAGAGGGGGGUAGAAUUCCACGUGUAGCAGUGAAAUGCGUAGAGAUGUGGAGGAACACCGAUGGCGAAGGCAGCCCCCUGGGUCAAAACUGACGCUCAUGCACGAAAGCGUGGGGAGCAAACAGG
rnacentral:rRNA from 1 species